UGGACAUUUUCGGACCAUUGUC
rnacentral:siRNA from 1 species